UACGGAGGAUCCAAGCGUUAUCCGGAUUUAUUGGGUUUAAAGGGUGCGUAGGCGGCCUAUUAAGUCAGGGGUGGAAGACGGUAGCUCAACUAUCGCAGUGCCUUUGAUACUGAUGGGCUUGAAUACACUAGAGGUAGGCGGAAUGAGACAAGUAGCGGUGAAAUGCAUAGAUAUGUCUCAGAACACCGAUUGCGAAGGCAGCUUACUAUGGUGUCAUUGACGCUGAGGCACGAAAGCGUGGGGAUCAAACAGG
rnacentral:rRNA from 1 species